GACAGAGGAUGCAAGCGUUAUCCGGAAUGAUUGGGCGUAAAGCGUCUGUAGGUGGUUUAUUAAGUCUACUGUUAAAGAUCAGGGCUUAACCCUGAGCAGGCAAUAGAAACUAAUAAGCUAGAGUACGGUAGGGGCAGAGGGAAUUCCCGGUGUAGGCGGUGGAAAUGCGUAGAGAUCGGGAAGAACACCAACGGCGAAAGCACUCUGCUGGGCCGAAACUGACACUGAGAGACGAAAGCUAGGGGAGCAAAUGGG
rnacentral:rRNA from 1 species